rnacentral:rRNA from 1 species
GACGAACGCUGGCGGCGCGCCUAACACAUGCAAGUCGAACGGAGCUGAGAGAAGCUUGCUUUUCUUAGCUUAGUGGCGAACGGGUGAGUAACGCGUGAGUAACCUGCCCUGGAGUGGGGGACAACAGUUGGAAACGACUGCUAAUACCGCAUAAGCCCACGAUCCGGCAUCGGAUUGAGGGAAAAGGAUUUAUUCGCUUCAGGAUGGACUCGCGUCCAAUUAGCUAGUUGGUGAGGUAACGGCCCACCAAGGCGACGAUUGGUAGCCGGACUGAGAGGUUGAACGGCCCCAUUGGGACUGAGACACGGCCCAGACCCCUACGGGGGGCAGCAGGGGGGGAUAUUGCACAAUGGGGGAAACCCUGAUGCAGCGACGCCGGGUGGAGGAAGAAGGUUUUCGGAUUUUAACCUCCUGUCGUUAGGGACGAUAAUGACGGUACCAAACAAGAAAGCACCGGCUAACUACGU